rnacentral:sRNA from 1 species
CCCGGAUGGCAGCGGAAAGCCUUUUGGAGAAAAACCUAUUUUUUUCACGACGAUGACGGCGACCAGCGGAAGCCGAAAGCGGCGCAGUAAAAAAAGGUUUUUGACAAAAGCUUGCAGCGUACAGCCGGAAUUGUG